GCAAACAGUGGGAAAGGUAUUUCAAGAGCUAACCUUGUGACAAAGCUUAAUUUAUUGAAGGUGUGUGAUUAUCCUUUUCAAUUUGUAAUCCUAUAAUGUUGAAUAUGAUUUUAAAUGAACAGUUGUUGCAAGUUUGUAACAUUACUCUCGCCUCUUAUAAAAUGCUUCAAUUGGACUCAAACUAUAUGCAUGAUUGUGCGGGAUAUAUGAAUUUGUCGGCAAGACUAUCGCCAGAGAUACUUGGUCUCGGAUUAUUAAUUUUAUUUUCUUGAACCUUAGGUUCCACAUGAGCUCUCUUUGCAUUUGAAUGAUUUUGUCCGUACAAAGGAUUGCAGGUAUGAGUUUACUAUGUAAUUCCUCUCAGUACGUCUGGUUUUGUGUCUAUGCAGUACCGAUGCACUAUCCUCUUCUUGCUGCAGACAUUACUGACUUUAUAUGUCAUUUUUCAGCUGCUAGUGUAGGAGAAUAAAUUAAAGCAAAAAUUAGUUACUUUUUAUUUUAAAGUUCCUCUAUCAGUAUUUCUGUACUUUUUGGGAAGCUGGUAAAGGUCCUCAUUUGAUUCAGGCUGUAAUUCAAGCUGGUUUGCUAAAAGAAGGUUUAUGUUUUGUACAGGACGAGAGUGCAGGUCAAUUACAUCUUAAUUUUAAUUCAAGCAAAAGUUUAGUAAUUGCUAGUAUAUUUGAAUAAGUUAUUGGGUUCAGUUACUUGCUGGCUUUUUCAGGAUUAUUUUUGCUUGCCAGAAAUGUCUUACUUUCCUGUUAGAUGGUUCUUUAAAUAAUGUCAUUUGUCCAUGUAUUCAUGUAUACAGAGGGAAAUUUAUACUGUGUUCUAUUUUGCUAAGAGUAUAUUUUAGUUUUUAAGUUAUUAUUGGUGGACUUUUUAUAUGGCUAUCUUCUUAAACUGUAUACUGCAAUCUCAUUACAGGUCUGGUAGUUUCUGUCUAUGCAGAGGUAAGAUACUGGGUGUUUCAGAAAUAUUUCAUUUUUUUUUUCCUGAGCAUGCUUCUACCAUUAAUUAAUUUCUUUUGUUUUUUUUCUAUUUUGUCUCCUUCAUUUGUUUUCAAGGUUCCAUGUCUUUUCUUUGUUUAUUUGAUUGCAAUGUUAAUGUACUGUAGGGUUUUCUAAGACAGAAGCUAUCUGGCCAAGGGCUUGCAUUUAUAAUUGCAGGUGGAUCUAGUAAGCAUUUCUUGAUGCAUUCUGCCACAGAUUCUACAAAGAUGUUCAGUCGAUUCUUAGUUGUUAGAUGUCAAUUUAAAUGUGUGGUUUUAUCUAUUUGCUAAAUCAAACCACCUCUCUUGUUUUCUUCUUUUCUUCCUGCCCUUUUUGCUCUAAAUUUAACCUCAGAUCCUAAACUAAAAGUAUUUGUAGUUUCUUUUGUUGCAUGACAAAAUAAACUUCUUACAUUGUCUCUUGAACAAAACUAGCAAAAUCUUAACCUCUCUUUUCAAGAAUACUCUUUCAUAAAACUUUUCAGUGAUAGUAAAAAUGGAGAUGCAUAGGACAUUCAGAAGAGUGGGAGAUACAAAAGGCUCUUUGCAGCAUCAUUCUUUGCAAUUCGUAAAAUGUUAUAUUAGAAAUGCUAAAAAAAAGGACAAACUUCUGCUACUUUUGUUGAAAACUCUUGGAAUAAUGUUUCUUUCUUGGCCAAUCUAGCUAGUGAUCCCUUAGUUGGACUUGGACUAAUCUUAGAAUUUUUUUGGCUUUCUCCAUUGAUGCUAGUUGUAUAGAAAAAUCUUGAGGUGGGCAAGGUACUAUCUGUUGAUGUUUCUUGUAUAGCAGUUGUGACUAGCUACAACAGUCAACGUCCAAAUCAAAUACAAUGGGCCCAUGAGAAGAGCAGUGUUUGGUAUAACUGAGAUCCUCAAGCUAGUAAGAAGGCUUUACAUACUCAUU